UAAGAGGUUGCUAAGAUGUUCUGGCUGGUUGCUAAGAUGUUCUAGGUGGUUGCUAAGAUGUCCUGGCUGGUUGCUAAAAGGUUGCUAAGAUGGUCUGGCUGGUUGCUAAGAGGUUGCUAAGAUGUCCUGGCUGGUUGCUAAGAUGUCCUAGGUGGUUGCUAAGAGGUUGCUAAGAUGUCCUGGCUGGUUGCUAAGAUGUCCUAGGUGGUUGCUAAGAUGUCCUGGCUGGUUGCUAAGAUGUUCUAGGUGGUUGCUAAGAGGUUGCUAAGAUGUCCUGGCUGGUUGCUAAGAUGUUCUAGGUGGUUGCUAAGAGGUUACUAAGAUGUUCUGGCUGGUUGCUAAGAUGUCCUAGGUGGUUCCUAAGAGGUUGCUAAGAUGUUCUGGGUGGUUGCUAAGAGGUUGCUAAGAUGUUCUGGGUGGUUGCUAGGAAGUUUCUAAGAUGUUUCGGUCAGUUGAUGGCAGUUUUCCUCUUGUCUGACAUGAAAAGACCUUUGCUCUGCAUCUGUGGGAUUUUUCGAUGUGUUUUAUUCAUUCAUCCAGCAGGUAAUAACUCAUAUUUAUGCAUUAAUGGUUUUCUGAGAUCAGUUCUGCGGAUGUCACCGGUGACCUUCAUCCACUGACAUCUGACCUCCGUCUGUAAUCAGACCUUCAUCUACAGCGACUUAAACAGAGAUGAAGAUAAAGAUGCACAUUAUGCUCUUCAGUCACACGAAAGCUCUCGACCUCCAGCUCUGCCGGCGUAUAAAGGCUGUAAGUGUCCUGUUUAGCUUUAACAAUGAUUCCCACACGAGAAUGCGCUCCUGUAUAUGAGUAUGUGGGUCGCGCUCAAGGCCACGCUUAUGUAAAUGCACAGACAACACAUUAGUUAGCAGGAUUUGUUGUUCAAAGCACGGUCCAGAUAAAUCACGCUCGCGCGGUGAAGAAUCGCCGCUGUCCUUACGGUAUCGUAGCAUUCAAACGCGCGUGCUGUUAACCCAGUUACACAGAGAGAAAUACAGCUCCCAUGAUUCCGCUGGGCUAUUUUCACACUCACCUCCCAUGACUCUCCGGCUGCGGCGGCUGCGUCAGCGUUCUGUGCCGCAGCGAGACAGUGAUCAAGCGCCCGGCACUUUCUGCAAGCCAGUCACAUUCAAAGUUUGUUUGCCAGCAUGGCAAUUUUAGUAAGAUAUUCCUCUCCCCGACAAAAACCUCUCCAAAGACUUCACGGAUUUCUGGAAGUCACCUUCCUCCCAUGUUGUGCGGGAACGGCAGAUUUUUCUCUUGCUUUGCAAAUCAUAACUUCAUGUUCUAGAAAUUAACAUUGAU
ensembl:lncRNA